rnacentral:rRNA from 1 species
UACGGGGGGGGCAAGCGUUGUUCGGAAUUACUGGGCGUAAAGGGCUCGUAGGCGGCCAACUAAGUCGGAUGUGAAAUCCCCAGGCUUAACCUGGGAAUUGCAUCCGAUACUGGAUGGCUUGAAUCCGGGAGAGGGAUGCGGAAUUCCAGGUGUAGCGGUGAAAUGCGUAGAUAUCUGGAGGAACACCGAUGGCGAAGGCAGCCAUCUGGACCGACACUGACGCUGAGGCGCGAAAGCGUGGGGAGCAAACAGG